UACGUAGGGGGCAAGCGUUGUCCGGAUUUAUUGGGCGUAAAGAGCGUGUAGGCGGCCAAGUAAGUCUGCUGUGAAAACUCGAGGCUUAACCUCGAGCUGUCGGCGGAAACUAUUUGGCUAGAGUCCGGAAGAGGAGAAUGGAAUUCCCGGUGUAGCGGUGAAAUGCGCAGAUAUCGGGAAGAACACCCGUGGCGAAGGCGGUUCUCUGGGACGGUAACUGGACGCUGAGACGCGAAAGCGUGGGGAGCGAACAGG
rnacentral:rRNA from 1 species